rnacentral:misc_RNA from 1 species
GAUGAAGAACGUAGCGAAAUGCGAUACGUAAUGUGAAUUGCAGAAUUCAGUGAAUCAUCGAGUCUUUGAACGCACAUUGCGCCCUCUGGUAUUCCGGAGGGCAUGCCUGUCCGAGCGUCAUUGCUGCCCUCAAGCACGGCUUGUGUGUUGGGCCCCGCCCCCCGAUCCCGGGGGGCGGGCCCGAAAGGCAGCGGCGGCACCGCGUCCGGUCCUCGAGCGUAUGGGGCUUUGUCACCCACUCUGUAGGCCCGGCCGGCGCUUGCCGAUCAACCAAACUUUUUUCCAGGUUGACCUCGGAUCAGGUAGGGAUACCCGCUGAACUUAAGCAUAUCAAUAAGCGGAGGA